UAGUUCCCAGUGAUUGGAAAUAUUUUAGUUAGUUGCCUAAACACUGCGGGCUUAACAUUUCCUGUCUUCUAGGUGACAAAAGAAGGCAUUAAGGACAAGGCUCUUGUAAAACUGAUGUCCAUUUGGUAGCAAAUUUAGCCCCUCCCUUCUGCUCCCACACUCACAUGGACUGCAUUUCUAACAACAAAAUCUACUAAGGGAAGUCUGACAUCAUCACAUCUAAGGAAUCCACUUUACUAGGAUGGAAGAAAAAAAUGGAUGGCACACUGGUUACAAAUGAUAUCUCAGGAGAUGAUAGACGUUUGACUGCAACAGUGUCUGUCUACAUACAGGCCAAAUCUUAGUUCUUCAAAACGGCAUCUGUCUGCUUUUGCAAAUUCAAGACCAAGACCAACCCCAGGGACAGUUUGGGCUUGUCUACACUGGCACUUUACAGCGCUGCACCUUUCUUGCUCAGGGAUGUGAAAAAACACACCCC